CCAACUGCCAAGCUCUCCAGAGGAGCUUCCUUCUGCGUCCCCGGGCCUUGAUCCCCGCCUCUCCCGCAGCCUCGCCUGUGCGGCAGCCCUGGGCACCCUGGGCUGGGGCUGCUAGGUGGCGGCUCACCCGCUCACGGGCUGCUGUUGGCAGCUGUUCCGGACCGGGGUCUCCUGGAAGCUGCAGUUUCGCCUCCGGGUUUGUUUUUGCACCAUGCCGUAGUCCUUGAAACUUGUGAAUAUAUUCCUCUACUUGGGAAGAGAGAUUGUACAAAUGUGAUUAAGUUUGGAACCCUGAGAUGAAGGAUUGCCUGGAUUAUCUAGAAUAAUCACAGAAACCUCUACAAGAGGGAGGCAAGAGGGUCAGAGUUGACCUGAAGUCAGAGUUGAGCUGAGGUUGAAGUGCUGCCCUUUGGAGAAGGAGAAAGGGAUCAUGAUCCAGGAGAUGAAGUGGCUUCUCACCAUGGGAUAAUGUAAGGAUUCCCCUUUGGAGCCUCCGAAGGAAAAGGCAGCUUAAACAACACCUGAAUUCUAUUGUCACAGAGGCCCUAAAAGCCUUGGAAUAGGCUGAGUGAUGAGAGACUCUUGGCAGAUGGGCAAUUAAACAGCUGCAGGAGGGACUGGAGGCUGGAGCGCCCAGACCUUGGCUAGGAACUACCAGUCCUAUCAUCAGUCUGCUGCCAAGGAACUGAGGCUCAACACUGUGUCAGUCACCAAUGGCCAUGGUCAUGCCUGGGCAAUGAAACCUGCCUCGAAACCCCCACAAGACGAUUGGAGUUUCAGAAGGUUCUGAGUGGGUAAACAUAUCUAUGUGCUGGGACAGUGGUGUACCCUAAUGGUACGGAGACAGAAGCCCCUCUACUGGCAACCCUUCUGAGCCUUCAUAUACCCCUUCAUCGG
rnacentral:lncRNA from 1 species